UUUACAAUCGUCUUUUUUCGGAACUGUUCUCUUGACAAACAAAUAAUAAAGACAAAAGGGAACAUGCAAGGGAGCGUGCGGUUUUUCUUGUCUCUUGCAUUUCUCGUCAGUUGCAUUUUUAGUUCUGAAAAGUGAAGUUCGUGCCACGUGUUUUGAAAAAGUUUGUUGCUUUCUGCCACCAAUUUUACAUCAACAUUUUCACAGAAUCGCAAAAAAUGAAUGGGCACACCAAGGACUGAACUGCGUAAAUGACAAAUGUACAUAAACAAGAAGGAAGCACCAAAGCACCGUACAGAAGGGGAGUUACUCCGAUCAAAAAUUAGUUGCGUUCUUGAAUAUUGAAAAAAAAAAUAUGAAAUAGAAAUCCAGUUGUAUGUAUUCCUGGGGAAAACUUCCAGAUAUUUGGUUUUUGAAUGCUUCUAGGUGCAUUCCUGGGUUGCUCCCAGGUGCAUUAAAAAAGAGUACACCCAGAAUGUGUUUAGUUUGUUACUUCCAGGUGCAUUCCAGAUAUAUGCUUCCAGAAGCAUGCAACGGGUGCAUUCUUUUUUGUCCCGCACCCGUGU